rnacentral:tRNA from 1 species
GAAGAGUUAGUUAAAACAUAACACUACUUUGUCAAGGUAGAAUCCUGAGUUAAAUCCUCAUACUCUUCU